UAGGGAAUCUUCCGCAAUGGGCGAAAGCCUGACGGAGCAACGCCGCGUGAGUGAUGAAGGUCUUCGGAUCGUAAAACUCUGUUAUUAGGGAAGAACAAAUGUGUAAGUAACUAUGCACGUCUUGACGGUACCUAAUCAGAAAGCCACGGCUAACUACGUGCCAGCAGCCGCGGUAAUACGUAGGUGGCAAGCGUUAUCCGGAAUUAUUGGGCGUAAAGCGCGCGUAGGCGGUUUUUUAAGUCUGAUGUGAAAGCCCACGGCUCAACCGUGGAGGGUCAUUGGAAACUGGAAAACUUGAGUGCAGAAGAGGAAGGUGGAAUUCCAUGUGUAGCGGUGAAAUGCGCAGAGAUAUGGAGGAACACCAGUGGCGAAGGCGACUUUCUGGUCUGUAACUGACGCUGAUGUGCGAAAGCGGGGGGAUCAAACAGG
rnacentral:rRNA from 1 species